GCUUGCUGUACAGACUGCUGCCACACCAGCUGGCUAGGUCGCUCUAGAUGCAGUACAGUUAUGCUACAGCCAAGAUAACCCAGGAACAGAGACUGAUAAAAAGAAGGUCCAACACAUCUGCAUGAAGCAGAAAAUUAAAACUUAAAGGAUCAAAUGAUAACAACAACCAUGAAUCUAUCCCAGAACUGUGGAGUUAUGGAGGGCAAACAACCAUAUGGCUAAACAGCAAUGUCUUCAAAAAAUAUUUGAUCAGAGAGUUGUCUGAACUGAAAUAAAGUCACACUGGCCGAACUAGUACUGCAAUGAAAUAGAGUAAUAGAUAGAUCUGCUAUAAUGGAGUGAAGGAGUCAGAAGAUCCCUCCUGGCCCAUGGAUGGACAUGAUCUUUGAAGAUGACAGAGUAUAUAGGAUGUGAAGUCUACCCGAAGACAGACACCACUGCCAAACUUCAUGAGUGCGUCACACGGAUGAUGCACUCAUGGUGAUACAGCAGAUUUUAUCACUCAUACUCCUAUUACUCCUCACCUUUGCUACUCUAAUUGAGCCCAAUAAACUCAUUGGUUGACCAAGUUGGAAAUAUA